rnacentral:rRNA from 1 species
AUACGGAGGAUCCGAGCGUUAUCCGGAUUUAUUGGGUUUAAAGGGAGCGUAGGCGGGAGAUCAAGUCAGCUGUGAAAUGUAGAUGCUCAACAUCUGCACUGCAGUUGAAACUGGUUUUCUUGAGUGCGUAAGGGGCAGGCGGAAUUCGUCGUGCAGCGGUGAAAUGCUUAGAUAUGACGAAGAACUCCGAUCGCGAAGGCAGCGUGCCGGGCCGCGACUGACGCUGAAGCUCGAAGGUGCGGGUAUCGAACAGGAUUAGAUACCCUGGUAGUCCGCACAGUAAACGAUGGAUACUCGCUGUCGGCGAUAUACGGUCGGUGGCCAAGCGAAAGCGUUAAGUAUCCCACCUGGGGAGUACGCCGGCAACGGUGAAACUCAAAUGAAUUGACGGGG